rnacentral:misc_RNA from 1 species
ACGCCGACGAAGGCUUUGUGCGUGUCCCCAGCUGACGUGAUCAAGUUAUCCAUCCUCCACCGAAGUGCGUCGUCGUCCCCCUAUCUUGUGCGUUUCUUCGGCCUACAUACCAUUACUGAGACAUGUCCGCGCUCAAUAUCACCUGCGCCGGUGCCGUGUAUCACGGCUGCGCCACCCUGGAGGUGAUGCGGUACCGCUGCCCGCAGUGGCAGCCCGGCAGCGACAUGCCCGUCAACGCCGCCCCCGAGGACGCGGAUGAGGCGGUGGAGGAUGCUGGCGAGGAUGUGGCCGCCGAGGCGUCUGUCUCCAUGGAGACACCUGAGACGAGCGAGGAGGAUGCAGAAUAGAACGUGGAGGCGACUCACACGAGGAAGGAAGAGCCAGAAUGGCGAGGUAUCAAACACCCGACGGACGCAGUCGGUGCGUGGCACCGUGGGACUGCCGCGCACGUGCACGUACUCCUCACCUGCCGGCUGGCUGCCGCGCUUUACAUAUUUGCAAGCUCCUCUUCCCCUUCCCUCCCUCUCUGCCUGCCUUGCCGAGGUGACUGCUGAACGAGAAGCGACGAUACUAAUAG